UACAGAGGGGGCAAGCGUUGUUCGGAAUUACUGGGCGUAAAGGGCGCGUAGGCGGCCUGUUAAGUCGAACGUGAAAUCCCCGGGCUCAACCCGGGAACUGCGUCCGAUACUGGCAGGCUUGAAUCCGGGAGAGGGAUGCGGAAUUCCAGGUGUAGCGGUGAAAUGCGUAGAUAUCAGGAGGAACACCUGUGGUGUAGACAGCUUACUGGACCACUUCUGACGCUGAGGACACGAAAGCGUGGGUAGCAAACAGG
rnacentral:rRNA from 1 species